ACCCGCUGAAUUUAAGCAUAUCAAUAAGCGGAGGAAAAGAAACCAACAGGGAUUGCCUUAGUAACGGCGAGUGAAGCGGCAAAAGCUCAAAUUUGAAAUCUGGCACCUUCGGUGUCCGAGUUGUAAUUUGAAGAAGGUAACUUUGGAGUUGGCUCUUGUCUAUGUUCCUUGGAACAGGACGUCACGGAGGGUGAGAAUCCCGUGCGAUGAGAUGCCCAAUUCUAUGUAAAGUGCUUUCGAAGAGUCGAGUUGUUUGGGAAUGCAGCUCUAAGUGGGUGGUAAAUUCCAUCUAAAGCUAAAUAUUGGCGAGAGACCGAUAGCGAACAAGUACAGUGAUGGAAAGAUGAAAAGAACUUUGAAAAGAGAGUGAAAAAGUACGUGAAAUUGUUGAAAGGGAAGGGCUUGAGAUCAGACUUGGUAUUUUGCGAUCCUUUCCUUCUUGGUUGGGUUCCUCGCAGCUUACUGGGCCAGCAUCGGUUUGGAUGGUAGGAUAAUGACUAAGGAAUGUGGCUCUACUUCGGUGGAGUGUUAUAGCCUUGGUUGAUACUGCCUGUCUAGACCGAGGACUGCGUCUUUUGACUAGGAUGUUGGCAUAAUGAUCUUAAGCCACCCGUCUUGAAACACGGACCAAGGAG
rnacentral:rRNA from 1 species